GACCUCAAAUCAGGUAAGAAUACCCGCUGAACUUAAGCAUAUCAAUAAGCGGAGGAAAAGAAAAUAACAAUGAUUCCCUCAGUAACGGCGAGCGAAGAGGGAUAAGCUCAAAUUUUAAAUCUGUUGGGUUCCACUUAACAGAGUUGUAUUUUGAAGAAACGUUUUCUGCAUCCAGGAUUAGCCUAAAUCCUUUGGGAUAAGGUAUCAUGGAGGGUGAGAAUCCCGUUCAUGGUUAAUCUUAAGGAAGCUCUACGAUACGUUUUCCAAGAGUCGAGUUGUUUGGGAUUGCAGCUCAAAAUGGGAGGUAAAUUUCUCCUAAGGCUAAAUAUUGGCGAGAGACCGAUAGCGAACAAGUACCGUGAGGGAAAGAUGAAAAGAACUUUGAAAAGAGAGUUAAACAGUACGUGAAAUUGUUGAAAGGGAAACGAUUGAAGUCAGUCAUACCAACGGGAAAUCAACCUUUUGAGCUUGGUCUCGUGGGUUUUGAAGAGUUUCAAAGCCUUCGGAUUCGCGGGAUUGGGAUUUCUUGGUGUACUUUUUCGUACGGUUAGUCAACAUCGGUUUUGAAUGUCAUAAAAUGACUGGAGGAAUGUAGCUUCGAUCUCGUAUUGAAGUGUUAUAGCCUUUGGUAGAUGUGAUGUUUGAGACCGAGGAUUGCAACGGAUACCCUUCAGGGCUAUUCGUCUGAUCUCUGAUACGUUGCCUUGAUGUUGAAAGCUUGCUUAUGAUGUUAGGGUAUUACGGUCAAAAGGUUAGAACGAAUUACAUUCGUUAAGGAUGUUGACGUAAUGACUUUAAACGACCCGUCUUGAAACACGGACCAAGGAGUCUAACAUAUAUGCGAGUGUUUGGGUGAUUAAACCCUUGCGCGUAAUGAAAGUAAUUUUGGUGAGAUCCGGGAAAAAAUUUUCGGAGCAUCAUCGACCGAUCAGGAUAUUU
rnacentral:rRNA from 1 species